rnacentral:rRNA from 1 species
AUGACAAGCUACGGGGGAUUUACGCUGCUGUUACGUGUAGACGGUCUUCGGAUGUUGCACUUCCUCCUCCAGCACAUCGUCCGCCACGUCCCUCUGUACAGCAUUCAGAACCACGACCCUCUGUGCAACGUUCACAACCACGACCUUCUGUGCACCGUGCAGAACCUCAUCCUUCACAGCCAGGGAGCUCUUCCAGGCAUGAGCCACCUCCUUCACAGCCAGGGAGCUCUUCCUGGCAUGAGCCACCUCCUUCACAGCCAGGGAGCUCUUCCUGGAAUGAGCCACCUCCUUCACAGCCAGGGAGCUCUUCCUGGAAUGAGCCACCUCCUUCACAGCCAGGGAGCUCUUACUGGCAUCAGCCACCUCCUUCACAGCCAGGGAGCUCUUACUGGCAUCAGCAGAUGGAACUAG